rnacentral:lncRNA from 1 species
AAGAUUUCCCCGCCAGAUGAAAUGGGUAGAGGUAAACAAAAAUAUUACUAAAUAAUUCCUUAUCAUAAAUUUCCAACUUGUGAAUCUUUACUACGGUUUGACAGUCUUAUUAGCCUUGUUUCUACUAAUUUUUCUAUGUAACCCGAAGAAAAAUAACGGAAGACUACAAUAACUGGACGCUUAAGAACCUUCGUUCCGAAUUAAAGCGUCGAAAUGCUCGUAUUUCAGGCCGAAAACAUGAGCUUGUAAAUUUACUGCUAUCUUUCGAUAGGAACUGUAAUUUCAGUUCGUUCUCAAGUGCUCCAGUGCUUACUGUGGAUCCUAUGCCUACUUUUUUAUAUUAUUAUAUUAAGGACAGUUACUGAAACCAGUUUAAGUGAAUCUCCAAUAAUUUACAAAGGUCAAAUUGAGCAAUAUAUCUCUUAAGGCAAGCUCAUGAUACAAAUUCCCAUAUUAAAAAAGGAUCUCCUAAAAAAGGUCGAAGAAGGAAAAAAUAGAAGAACAGUUGAAGCCUUCAGCUUCAACAAUACCUUAAGCCCAUCCAACUCUACGAUCUUUUUCACAAGGAUCGUGACAGCUGAGAUGAAGAAAGCAAUAAAUAUUACAUAAAAUUAGUCAUUAAUGCAAAUGGUGAGAUUCAAAACAACUCUGAAUCAUUGGCUAGUGUCUUAAUGGAAAGGAAGAGACAGACUGGAUGAGGUAUGAUUAAUGUCGUUACGUGUCUGUGUCUGAACUGUACAUUUUUGACCAAUCGCAUCCUCUUCCAUAUGUUCUUCCUUUGAAUCAUGAAUCUCAAUCUCUACUUCAAUGACAUUGUCCUCAGGAGUAUGUGACUUUAAUAUCAUCUUGAGUGGUGUUGACUUCUUUUGGCCUCUGAAGAUUUUUAUACCUCUCUUCACGAAAUAAUGGUUCUGUUGAUCUUUUGGAAAAAUCGAUGGUGCCACUCCUUUUUUAAGACAUAUACGAAGCUUAGGAACGUCAGGAUUUUAUCUUCCUGGAAGAGCGUAAUCUUCUUUCUUGAAAUGUUCGUGGCAUACUAUUGAAUGAAAAGAAUGAACCCAAAGAUUAUUGGUCUUGAGGUUGAUACGAUUUAUUGUAACCCAUCAUUUCACUUGUAAAGUGGGUUCCAUGGGGAACUUAAAGCCUCCUACGCCUUUACAUCCAGGGAAACUACAAUAAUUUACCAUUGUUCUUCACUGGUAAUGCCGUAGUUUGAGUUUUUUUAACUUUCAGCGAUAAAAUUUGAGGAUCUGUUGAAGUGAAAGUCUUGAAUUUUUACCUCUAAGCUCUUUAAAUUUAAAGCGCACGCAUCCUACAACAUAUCCUUAUUGCAAUGAGUUUUAAUCAUAGAAAAAUAAAUUUUCCUAGAAUUCUAAUCGUGUCCACUCAAUUGGGUGCACUUUUUUUGCCAUACAUCUUUUGAGCGAGUCUCUUUUCAGCACGGAUCAUUUCAGCUUGCUUCAAUUUGGCGUGGUAUCAUUUUGGCGAAUCAUUUAUUUUUAUAUUUGAAUUACCUUCAAUUAAGGAAGAGUCUGACUCCUCAAGCAACACAAUGACCAAUGGGGGACUAUCUCUUAGUGCUUCGAAGUAAAAGCUUAAGAACUACUUAUCACUGGUCCUAACCAACCUGUUGGAAAAAGCGAAGAAGUUCUUGCUCUUCCAAUGUGCUAAGAUUUAAGGUUACUCUUCCUUAACGGAUUAGGAGGAAAAAUGGAGUGCGAGGUGAGAUGACGAAAAGUUAUUGGAUCGAGGGGGAUAUCCUGUUCUAUAGGUUAGAAACUGGCGAUGAAGAGUAUUUCGAUCACUAUUUGGCAGGCCUAUGAAUGCAAGCUGAGGAUUCCGAAGAUCAGACUAUCCUUAACACGAAAAUUGUGUAUGUGUUUGAUCUGUAUCAACCUCAGUCGAAUGGCCUAGCGAAUAUUGCCUCAUAACUAAGAAUUAUAAUUAUAUAUUUAUUGUUUCUAUAUUGAGCUUCCUCGCUUGAAUGUGGUAAAUCGCCUAGUGAGGUGUUGAAAGGGUGAGAGAUGCGGAUAAGACUUGAUGGUCUACUAUGUGAACUAAGAAGAUUCCUGACAUCUUAUACUCGUAUCUGAUUUAUGUUGAUCUAUGCUGUAUUAAAAUAAACUACUAUAUUAUUUAGUUA